AUGAACGCUGGCGGCGUGCCUAAUACAUGCAAGUCGAGCGAACAGACGAGGAGCUUGCUCCUCUGACGUUAGCGGCGGACGGGUGAGUAACACGUGGAUAACCUACCUAUAAGACUGGGAUAACUUCGGGAAACCGGAGCUAAUACCGGAUAAUAUAUUGAACCGCAUGGUUCAAUAGUGAAAGACGGUUUUGCUGUCACUUAUAGAUGGAUCCGCGCCGCAUUAGCUAGUUGGUAAGGUAACGGCUUACCAAGGCAACGAUGCGUAGCCGACCUGAGAGGGUGAUCGGCCACACUGGAACUGAGACACGGUCCAGACUCCUACGGGAGGCAGCAGUAGGGAAUCUUCCGCAAUGGGCGAAAGCUUGACAGAGCAACGCCGCGUGAGUGAUGAAGGUCUUCGGAUCGUAAAACUCUGUUAUUAGGGAAGAACAAAUGUGUAAGUAACUAUGCACGUCUUGACGGUACCUAAUCAGAAAGCCACGGCUAACUACGUG
rnacentral:rRNA from 1 species